AAAUAGCACACUUAAGAAACGCGAAACACGUAGAUUAUUAUUACAUUGUUAUUACACCAGGACUGAUAUCCACGAGCCUUGAGAACCAGUACUCGAUAUUACUGACAUUAUUCCUUCCUUUCGGCACACAACGUUAACGACCGAUAUCCACGAGCCUUGAGAACCAGUACUCGAUAUCCCUGACAUUAUUCCUUCCUUUCGGCACACAACGUUAACGUGAUGAGUCGAUUGGGGUUGUUUAUAUUGGUCGUGGCUCGUGUUUGGGCAGGCGACCCAUAUCAUGACACUGCGGAAGCAGACCAAUCACAGGGAGAAAAAGAGGACACCGAGUGGUAUUACAUCUCUGCAGCUGUUUUAUUCGGUGUUGUUAUACUAUUUAUGAUCGUGAUAGCAUUCCUAUGCAAUAUACGCUACUUAGCGGAUACGUGCGACAAGAUCAAACAUGUUCUCUGUGCGACGUCUAAAGAAUGUGUCCCCGUGACACAUCACCAUGACGACGACGAAUACAAACAGUCGCUGAUGUCUCCUGGGUAUUCUUCUGGGUCGGAAUCUGCUAUGUGUGCCACGAAAAAUGAUAAGCAGGAUGGCAAACAAUGACUAUGAUGGUUUUGUUAUAUGUGGAAUGCUUGACUUGGGUUGUAAUUACUGUGAUUUAAAAGUUUUGUUUACUUCUUCGAAGAUGAAAACAAAAUUGAUUUAAUUGUUAUUGUAAGCAUUUAUUUUUAUCAGAUUUCUGUUAAAGUUAUGUAAUGGCUUACCGAAUGCUAUUGUUAUGUACACAUUGUUUUUAGGAUACAGCAUUGGUGUUCUGAUGUGAACAUUUACUUCUUUUUAUCAGACCCAUUGCUGUCAGCGAGUGGUUAAGUUCUACGAUGGGUCAAGGUCAUAUUUAGUGCUCACAAUGUUACUGUUUUAAAUCAGCAUUGUUUCCACCAAUUCAUAGUUUUCCUUUUUAUUUGUAUAUUUGGUUGAGGGCUGACGGCCUAGCUUUAUUCCCAUUGUACAGACAGUCAUUUUGUUAAAGAUUCAAGUUUCUUUACGUAUGCAUUUAGUAAUGUUUAAGUGUUUGAGACAAUGAGUGUAUUCAAGUUAUAAAGGUGAUAUUUCAGUAAAACAGUAAAUCUUAGUUACUGUUUUAAAUAGUUUAUUUAAUGAAUUAAUUAAACAACAUAAUCAGAGUAAAUUUCCCUUUCUUUAUUUAUUUACAUAAUUUACGUAAAUGCAUUUGAUUUUUGAUAUCUUUAAAACAUUUCUAUCUAUUUUCUUUUGUAACUGCGACUGUUUGACAUUGUUGAUGAUUGCGCAGGGUUUGUAUUCCAUCGAUGGGACAAAAAUAAGAUAUCAAAACUGAUCCAACUAAUGUAAUAUUCUAUUGUCAAUUGCUUUGGGUAGAACAAGCAUGCUUCCCUUCAACGGGAUUUGCUACGACAGUGGACUUGAGUGUGAAGCUUUGGUACGAUGAUUCAAUUGAUGUACACGUAAGAGAUGUUAAUUUGUUUGCUUGUUUUUGUUUCUGUCAUUUCUUCCAUUCACAUGGCAUAAAGUGAUGAAUUUUCUUUGAGUUCGAUACAGUAAAAAUCAAAUAAGUGAAGUUAAUUGGCUUUAUAAUUCAUAUGUGUAUAAAGUAAAAAUAUGUUGUUUUGGUUAUGAAUCUAUUAAAUGAUUAGAGUAAGUGGUUUGAUGUUUGAAUUAUACCAACUACCUGUAGAAAAGCCAUAUAUAUAAAGAGCAUAUUUCAUAGCUUUUUACACAUAAACAUUACCAAAUAACAGUAACACAAAAACUUAUACUCAUUCUAUCAAUCAAUGAUAAAUAGUUAACAGUUUUCUGAAAAAAAUAUCCAGGCACAUAGGAUAAAAUAAACAAAUGCUAAUAUAUUGCUAGAAAUAAAGUAAGCCCAUGGCCAGAUACACCAGUAUAAAUACAUAUAAUGUCCCACUUACAUUUAUUAACAUCAUAUUUUGUUUGGAAACACAAUAUUUAAUGAUGAAAUGCUAAAAAUGGUCUUAUUGUAUAUACAUGUACAUGAAUGUAGUAUUUCAUUUGAAUGUAAACUUAAGUUAUUGAGAAAAUAAUUGCUGAAAGUCUUCCCAUGUUUGAAUAAAAACUUUAUUUUGUUUUUUUGUGCAAUUGUUUUAUGUAUUUUGUACAUUUUUGUUAUGUAUGCUUUUAAUUUAUUGAUCAAUACGCAUGUCUGAUUUUGUUCUUGUUGUAAGAUAAAUGUAGUAUUUUGAGUAUAUUAUUAUGAAAUUGCUUGGAAUUUUAUGUUUUUGAUCUGUUGUUGAAAUACCGAAUAGAAAGUUCUUGAUAUUUAGGGUUCGACUUAUUUGUGUUUAUUUUUUGUAAAACUAUUGGUUUACGAUCUUUGAAAGAGCUAUUGGUGUACAAUUUUUGGUAAAAUUAUUAGUAUACGAUUUUUGGUAAACAUGGUACAGUAUACGAUUUUUGGUAAAGCUAUUGGUAUUUUUUUUUUUGGUAAAACUAUUGGUAUCUGACUUUACCAGAUAAACACGAGGUUUGCCGAUAUCCCCUCUCUCACAAAGAGGUGAAUGGUUAUUUUCCCCAUUCCCUGUUUACCUGUUAUAUAUCUUAUAUUAACACUGAAUUGUCGAAGUUACGGCAUUGUAUUGAUUCUCUCACACAUCUCUCAUACAUUUGUUGAGAACGUGCGAGAGCACGUGCAGAUUGUCUCUACCCUUGGGUGAGGUAAGAAAAUUGUGGAAAUCUCUGUCAAGAGUAAGAGAAAUCCCUAUCCGCAGGACAGACCCAUGUAAGAUUCUAUUAAUAUCAACCCUCGUGUGGGAAUCCUGUAGUUCAAACCGUCGGCGGAGUCGCUGCGGAUUAAACAAUCAAAAUUCGUAUCCCUGAUGUUGAGAUUUCUCUGUUCUACCGUCAAUGAUAAAUCAUUCACUAAAUGCUAUUUAGAAAUUGAUAUUGUUAAUCAUGUUUGUGUUGAGUGCAAAAUUAUGAAAUAAAAUUUAAAUCAGAAAUUUUA